GACGAACGCUGGCGGCGUGCUUAACACAUGCAAGUCGAACGGAAAGGCCCUGCUUUUGUGGGGUGCUCGAGUGGCGAACGGGUGAGUAACACGUGAGUAACAUGCCCUUGACUUUGGGAUAACUUCAGGAAACUGGGGCUAAUACCGGAUAGGAGCUCCUGCUGCAUGGUGGGGGUUGGAAAGUUUCGGCGGUUGGUGAUGGACUCGCGGCUUAUCAGCUUGUUGGUGGGGUAGUGGCUUACCAAGGCUUUGACGGGUAGCCGGACUGAGAGGGUGACCGGCCACAUUGGGAUUGAGGUACGGCCCAGACUCCUACGGGAGGCAGCAGUGGGGAAUAUUGCACAAUGGGCGGAAGCCUGAUGCAGCAACGCCGCGUGCGGGAUGACGGCCGUCGGGUUGUAAACCGCUUUCGCCUGUGACGAAGCGUGAGUGACGGUAAUGGGUAAAGAAGCACCGGCUAACUACGUG
rnacentral:rRNA from 1 species